ACAGAGAAGCUUUCCUUCCAGAAGACCGUCGAAAUCUAAAACAGAACUGCGUGUCGCCAAGACAACCUACAUGGGGGGGAGAGAUCAACAACAACUGACAGCAUUCAGCAUUAGGACUUGACCACAGAAAAAGGGAAAUGCACUCCAAUUCUGCCCAUUUAUGUGUGUGUGUACAUAUAUAUAUGUAUACACAAUUUUUUUUAAGUAAACAAUUAGAUGGUUCUGGCAACAAUAAAUAGCUUUCUUUAAACAAGAAGAAGAAACAUAACUUGCCACAAGGUGGUCCAAGCCAUCAGCCACAUGCCUCUAAUUCCUCUUUGGCAGCAGAACAGGAAAAUUUAGAUGAAAGAAGAAUUCAGCAAGCAGGACCACACACAGCAAAAAAAGGAAAGAAUAGAAAAGAAAAGGUUUCCACAGGAAGGAUUUAAUCCCAAACCAUGGAUAUAUGCUGUUGCAAUCUUGUUGAACACAGCUUAGUCCAACAGCAGAUGACUACAGAACAAAAAAAGCACUUACCUGAGUUGGAAUCUGGAAAAGACAAGUAGCAAAUAUUGGUUUUCUAAAGAGUAGGGAAAAGAAAGAGGGUAGUUACAUCUCCUGAUAUUUCUAAAUUAAAACCAAAUGCUAUAUUUACACAGCAACAAUUAUUUACCUCUUUAUCUGUGAGCUUUGAAUGUGGAGGAUAUAUUACCUACAGGAAAAAAAAAGAUAGUAUUUCAUUUAAAAAUAUACCAAGUAUAAGUAGAAAGCUUAUCUUACGUGUUUCUACAAUACAACCCUCAAAUACUUGUCAGCUUUAGGCUACUAUCUAUGAUAAGUUAUUAACGCUAUCCAUCUGUUCUUACUCACGUGCUUUUUAAGCUAAUGAUCUUUGAGAGUAAAGAUUAAAGAACACCUCUACAGGGUGCUCUGGGUGCCAGCUGGAGAUUAUAAAGGUACACUCAAAAAUUCAGGCUAUAUGACAUUUGGUACAGCUGGUCUUAAGGAAUUGCAGUUUGUAUUUAACUUGUCAGAAGAUGCAGCCAACGACACUAUAGAAAGCCAAUGUGUUACUGUCUGGAACCUGUUGCACUGGGUAGUUAGACUGGGAUAACCAAAAUUCAAUGACAGAACACCCACUGUACUGAUAUGAAGUGGUGAAGGAUGAACAAUGGCCACAAAUGAGAGCCAGGAGUGUGAAAGCACAAGAAUUGCACCCACAACGCCACUUACACUGAUAAAAAAAGGUUAUUUAGCGUUGUCUACAAUGCAUAAAUAAAAAACAAUGCGACAACUGAAGGCACAACAGUAACUAUACCAAUAAGUAAGAAAAGAGCACAGAAUGAAGCAGAACCUCAUAGCAUUCAGCAAUGCCAAGGAGAUGUUGCAAUCAACUUAAGUAAUGCACUCCAUCAGAAGUCCCUCAGCAGCUGAACGAUGCUGCAGCCACCUGCACCCAGUCAGAGCAUUAAGCCUACAGUUAGGCUACGAUUAACGGGGCUGCUACCAGAUUGGAACUCACACCCCUGCUGCUCACCAGCUAUUGCAACUCGGCAGAAGUCAAAGAUGAAACCAAAGGAAGUAAAACCAGCAGCAAACACAAACAUCCAUCACAUCUCAGCCUUCUGAGCUGCAUGGGUGGCCACCUCAGAGUGAUGAAGUGAUAAUGAAAGCAAGCAGAGCCCAGGUGAAGGUGUUUUGUUUCGUUUUAAUUACAAUGCUUUGAAUGACCUUAAAGAAAUCCAAACAGAAAAGAGCCAGAACACCACUUCUGUGAGCUGCUGCUAGGCCAGAAGGUGCAGAAAAUGAAUCUGCCUAUCCAAAGCACAAAAGAAAAUGCAGGGAAAAAAAAAAAAGAGCAAGUUAGACACGAAGAAGCAGAAUGAUGGGAGACCAUCAAUCACUCCCUGCUUCCAAAUGCUUCCCUUCGUAGUCAGUGCUCUUCACACACUGUCUUUCCUGCCUGCACUGCUCAGCUAACGUGCUGGGCAGGAAAGAAAAGGAACAGCCUGAAAGGCAGUGCCACAGCAGAGCUUGUGCCAGAAAUUCCAACUUCCCCACCGAUGUAAUGCAUGUUGUUGGAAGUGAAAGGAAAGUAACCAGAAAACUGUGAUUAACUGCAGGAAAUGUUACAGCUCCGUGGGAAUCCUCCCCCACAAUGCAACUGUGGGGAAAAGGCCCUACAGCUGCAGGUUUUGGCAAAGCACUGUUUCUGUCUGAGCAGAUUCCAGAGAAGAAAUGAAAUCUCUUCUUUUGUGCAGUUUGAAACUACGCCGCAUUUGCUUUGCAUUCAUGCACCUCUUAAUAUGCAGUCAUGUUAAGUAACCUCAUUCUUAAGACUCCAACUGAAAGACAAACAACUCAGGCCACAGUUCCACAUGCAUUUCAAGUUUCAUUUCAUGGGUGCAUCCGGCUACCAUUACCAGGACUGCUACCAGAGCUGCCUGCUGACCACACAGGGCCCUGUGUGUCCCUCACCCACACACAGCACCUCUGCCUCAGCCCUGGGUUACACAGCAACAUCACCCUCCUUGCUGCCAGCAUUAGGUGGGAACAGCGCAGAUGCUGCCAUAGGACGCUGGUUUAGUAUUUGCAUUUCCCCUGCAGCCAACGACACGCAUCAGCUCUGCUUUAAGGAUUUUAACAGCAGCACUAAGCCAGCCAGCGUGCACCCCCGCUAAAGCGCUGUCCCAGCCACAACGGAACACAGCGAGGAAGCUUUUCCCUACGCCGCAGCUGGCUGCCGCACGGGCACACGAUGAACGGACGUGAAACCACCGAACGGAGCCAUUUCUGCAGUUUAUUUCCCAUCCCCAUCUGCUGCGGAGCGGCAAAGCGCGGCGGCUCGGAGCUGUCAGACCGCGCGGAUUUCGCAGCACCGCAGUUCCCUCCCGGGCACGGCCGCGCUUCCCCCGCAGCCGUGCAACACCGCCCCAGAGGAAGUGCCCGAUUCCGGCGGGGCGAAGGGCCGCGCCGCAGAGCCGGGCGUUCCGGGGGGGGUUGGAGGAGAGGCGAGGCGGCCCGCGCCCGAGCCACGGCGCCCGCGGGCCCUCACGUACCUCC